UCAAGCAUGAGCUGUCACGCUUGACGCAAACGCUUCCGUUGCUGUCUUAAGUCGCGCCUGCAAUCAAGUUUUCUUUUGUUUGUGUGCGCCUGGAUAAUGAACUGAGUGCGCCAAUCAACCUGAGGACAACGAAGCAACUGUGGUCGCCACGUGCCUCCCAGCUAACCUACAAGGUGAAUCACGUGCAACCAAGUGACCGUGUCACUACUCCGGGGGACAACGCAGCAACCGUCGUCGCUACGUUCGAUCUUCGGCAGUUAUAUUCACCAGGUGCGAUUCUAGCUUGCGAGGGUGGUGCGGCUAUUAAAUCAACUAAUUGGCAAUGUUAACUGUUUUAUACUGAUUGGCAAGAGAAGGCCGCUGCCACAUUGGGUCGUCGUCGUGACGGAAGCGGAGAGGACUGGGUGGGGCGAUUGUAGCUUUAGGCUUAGCUAACACUAGGAAGGGUAGCUCGCACUGCGCAGGCUCCAGCUGGCAGGGGUCCUCUCUCGUUUGCGACACAGACGUCGGCCCAUUCCGAGUGCUAUUGCUUCCCAGUCAUAAAUUCGCGUGUCGGCGCGCGCGAAAUGUGGAAGUUAAUUGCACCCGGAAUUAAUUAGUGUCAGGUUUCUUCCAGCAAAACAGAAGAAGAACGGACGUUGCCUACGGCCUGCAGCGCGGCGCGCUGCGGCGAAGACGGUGGUGGGUGGCUACAUUUUUUGUCUUCCGUAUGUUCUGUCCAUAUUGCUGUGUCACGCCGUGCUUUCGUCGCUCGACAAGCCAACUAUCAUGGACUAGUCCCAUCGUCCACUCCAGCGCGAUGACGCUUGUCUUGGUGAGUACAUGCUUUCUGGUUACUUUCGUCAUUUAACAAGUGCCCCCCCCCCCCCUUUUCUUUUUUUCCAGAUCUGCAACCUGUGCCUUGGCCCCUGGCACCCGGUUCCUGCACCCGGCCGUGUCUCGCACAGAUGACGUUAAGCGCCUGUCUAUCGUCCAGCAGCUGAUCGCGUCUUCAGUUCUGUUCCUGCCUCACUGCUAUUGUUUCCUGGUGAAUGAAGAUGCCUGCAAUCCCCACCCUGCAGAACGUCCACUGCACCCUGCAACCCUACAUCUGCUGCCCAUCAAGGUCUGUCCCACCAGCGUAGUAGGCAAUGACACCAAGUGCAGACCGCAGGGACGCAGGCGUUGCUCUCCCCACUCAUCAAAUUGCUGCUCCCGAAGACGUCGUACUGCAGGAAACGUUCUUCGCUGCCUCGACGAGACCACACAACUAUGAAGUCCCAAGAAACAGCGCGACGUCGCGUGACAUGAAUGAUCAUCUAACAUCCCAGUUGGAGUGGUUCGUUCCACCCUAUAGCAGUGCGACGGCCACUCGGUGAAGUCACACGUUAUUCAAUGGCUGUGACCGUAUGAUGUGGGUACAGAAAAUCCCAGGUAACAUGCUGUUCUAGCUCAUUGUAGUGGUACACUGCUCAAACUCUAGCAUUGGUUUGAUCUGGGGAUUCUUGCUUCUUA